GGAGGUUGAUCCUUCACCACAACUGAGAGGCUCAUCUCUCACCACGACAGACUUGAGGGGUUCUCUGCCAUCUGAUCCUUCACCACAACAGUGGAGGCUGAUCUCUCACCGCAACACAGAGGCUGAUCUCUCAUGAUCUCUCACCACGACACGAGCUUCCUGCCUUCAGAUCCUUCUCUAUGGACCGUUUGCUGACGGACUUCCCUGGGCCUGCUACCUGAGACCUGCUGCUUCCUCCCUGACCUGCACCCUCUCAUUGCCAAGACCGGCCUCGCUGCUCCUGCCCUUCGGCCUCGGACCGUCAGAACGUCGUGCAACGGGACUACUGCCGGAUCCUGGUGAUCCCAGUCACCAGCUGAGAGGACAGAGGAGAACACAACUUGCGCUCCCGAUCCCUUCAGAAGUCUUCCCAGAGCCCUGACGUCCCUUCUGAUCACCCAAAGGCUUCUUUUGCCUACCUCUUCAUUUCCAAUGUGGAAAACCAGUAACGGAGAAUAAUCGGAGGGCUUAACGAGGUGUCGUUAAUCGGAGGCUUAAUGACAACACACCUCCCUGUGGGAUGGAUCUGAGCAGCAUAUCGGGCCCUCGGUUCCCCUCAGAAGGGAGUUCCCUAUGACGACAAGUUUUUUUGUUUUGUUUUGUUCCCCUCCCCCCCCCCCCCCUCCCCCCCCAAGUGACGUAGCAAAAUGGGGAGCAGACUGACUAGCCUUGGGCAACCUCUCCUGCAUGGAUGGACUUUCACCAACAUCCACAGCUCCUACUCCCUCCAGCUUCAGAGCCUCAUACCUGUUUUGUAAGGGCACCUGGGAAGGUGGGACAGGCUGAGGGGCAGUCUGCUUGCUGCCCUGAACAGGGACUUGUUUCCAUCCCUCGCUGUCUUUGAGGUCACUCCUUCCCACCUGACUGUGAGACAGCAGAUGAUCCCCCACUGCUUGAGGAGCAUCUCCCCUGCACCCUUUCUGUAGGGAUGGCAGAGUGCAACUUUACUAGUCAAUCCCCUUCCCACAAUCCCGGAUGCUCCUCCCUUUCUUCCUCCUUCUGCUCUACCACCAGCCUGAGCAGAUCCUCCACCUGCUCACACUGCACACAGGUAGUAUCCUGGCUGCCCUCCUGUACCAGUAACAUGGCCAGGCAUUCUCCGCAACCUGAGACCCGAACUGUGGCAUGGACAUUCAUGCUUUCUGUCUGAGUCUCCACGUUCCUUUUAGCAGCAGCUCACCUCCGUUUGGUGACCAUGGUUGCACCUCGGUGUGUCCAGAGAGCAACGACCUGUUAAGUGACCUGUUAAGUGCUAAGUGCUAAGCCCCCUCCUAUAUGGCAAGGUGCCCUGCCCUGCCCUGCCUGCCCGCUGAUUUGCUCGGGGUUUGCCCUAGAAAUCACUCUUUUCACAGCAAGACAACAACCUGCCUUCCUGCAUAGUCACGCAAAUAGGUGGCUUACUAUUUCACCUCCUCAGAACAGCCCAAGUGAUUCAAACACCCUGACUCCUCCUCUCCAUCCCCAAGGCUUUUUCUAGGCAGGGGGCGUGGAUGCAGAGCCGUUGCCCUGGCAACGCCCACUUCAUGUCAGCCACUCUCCCAAGAGCUGCCAGGCUGCUCUGUUAUCCCGGGGUUCCCUGAAUAAAGGAACCGGCCAAAACACCCCUGUACCUCGUGAUCAGUCACUGUGGUUCUGGCUGGGACAGCUCCGAAGCAGCUAACCUCGGCAAUCAAAUUGAGUUACUAUCUUCACGUACUUCAAAAUUUCUCAGUUUUCUAAAGUCAAGUAUUGAUAGUGAAAUCUCAAAACUGCUUAACCAAUGUUUAUACAGAUUUUUUUUUUCUGAUCAAUCUUGAAUCAUUCUAAAGCAACUUCAAAAUAAUAUAAAGUUAUUACCAUAUGAAUUGCUUUUAUUUUGAUAAAAAAUAUUACUUUAGAUCUCUAAAUCUAAACUUCAUAAGCCAAACUUUACCUUUUUAGUCAACUUUUUUUUUUUUUUUUUUUUAAGUUUUGUGAGUGUGUGUGUGUGAGUGUGUGAAAAAGUAAUGUAUUUGGAUCUCAGUACAUGACAUAUGAUCCUCGGUAAUGAAAUUUGUAUGGCUCAGAAACGUGCAACAAUUUUAUCAGUGUAUUUUCCAAAUAUUUUGAUGCACUUGAGAAGAAAAAAAAAUAGGAAAAGCGAAAAGGAAGGAAAACAUAGGAACACAUAUGUUUAUGCAGAACAAAUAAUCUUUUAAUUAAUCUUCAGUACAGUAUACAGACUAAUAAUUGCAUUUCAUCACAGAAUCACAGAAUCACAGUAUGGCCUGGGUUGGAAGGGAUCUCAGGAAUCAUGAAUCUCUAACCCCCCCGCCACAGGCAGGGCCAUCACAUGUAGAAAAAAAAACUGAUAUUGAAGUUUAGGAAUCAAUAUCUAAAAGGAAUGUCAAGGAAUUCAGACUACCACUAAAACUGUGAAUGCACAUUACUGAAUGCUUCUCUUUACUUGGAAGAGAUUUAUGAGGAAAGCUGUGUGUAUAUAUUAUAUAUACAAGGUCCUCAAACAGCAAAAUAACAUUAGCGUAAGCCAAAAUAAAGGUCAAUUUCCAAGCAUGAAGGAGGAAAAAUGUUUUUUUCUUGCUCUCUCAGUGAGUCUGAAUAAGGCUGAUGUACUCAGUGUGAAUUCUUUCUCUCACUCUUCAUUGGCGAGUUCUUUAGCUAUGCUACUCGGAUGCAGAAGGUACAGAGAAGGAGUAGGAAAAUGCAAAACUGCCCAAUGUAGGAGUGGAUUGGGUUCAAAAUACCCUAAGGAAUCUGAACAUGCACAAAUCCACAGAACUUCAUGAGAUGCAUCCACAGGUCCUGAGGGAACUGAUAGAGGAAGGUAUUAAGCCACUACCCAUCAUAUUUGAGAAGUCAUGGCAGUCUGGAGAAGUUCCUGGUGACUGGAAGAGGGGAAACAGAAUUCUCAUUUUUUUAAAAAGAGAAGAAAAGAAAAACUGGAGCCUGAAAAGCAACUCAGUUUCAUCUCUGUGCCUGGCAAAAUUAUGGAACAGGUUCCCCUGGAAACUAUGCUAAGGCACAUAGAAAAGAGAAAGGUGAUUGGUGACAGCUAGCAUGGGCCCACUAAGGGUGAACAGUGCCUAACAAAUGUGGUGAUCUUCUACAACAGAAUUAUAGCAUUAGUAGACAAGGCAAGAGGAAAUGACUGAUGUCAUCUACCUGGACCUGUGCAAAACAUCUGACAAUGUCCUGCAUGACAUCCUUGUCUCUAAAUUGGAGAUACAUGGAUUUGUUGGAUGGACCACUCAAUAAAUAUGUAAUUGACAUUCCUCAGGGGUCAACAUUGGGACCGACACUGUUUCUUUCUUGGCAACAUGGAUUAAGUGCACCCUCAGCAGCACUGUGGAUGACACCAAGCUGAGAGGUGCAAUCAAUAUGCUGAAGGGAAUAGAUGCCAUCCAGAGGGAUCUUGAAAACCUUGAGAAGUGGGCCUGUGCAUACUUCAUGAAGUUCAAAUGCAAGAUCCUCCAUGUGGGUCAGGAAAAUCCUCAGAACAAAUACAGGCUGGCAGGAGAAUGAAUUAAAAGCAGACUAUGUAGAAGGUCUUGGGUCUGCUCAUUGAUGAGACUGAAUAUGAGCUGGCAUUGUGCUCUUGCAGUCCAGAAGGCCAACCAUAUCCUGGGUUGCAUCAAGUGUGACCAGCAUUUUGAGAGAGGUGAUUUUCCCCCUGUACUCCACUCCCAUGAGACCCCAUCCCCAACCUGGAGUACUGUGUUCAGAUCUAGGGAACACAGCAUGAAAAAGAUGUGGACCUGUUGGAAUAGGUCCAGAGCAAGCUACAAGUGUGAUCAGAGGGUUGGAGCACCUCCCCUAUUACAAGAAGCUGAGAGAGUUGGGGUUGUUCAGGUUGGAGAAGAGUCUUCAAAGAAGACCUUAUAGCAGCCUUCUUGUAUCUAAAGAGGGCUUACAAGAAGGAUGAAAAGGGACUUUUUACAAGAGUAUGUAGUGAUCAUACAAAAGGUAAUUGUUUUAAACUGAAAAAGGUUAAAUUUAGAUUAGAUAUCUAAAACAAUUAGGGAACAAAUUCUCUAUGAGCUGCUGAUACCCUGGAACAGGUUGCCCAGAGAAACUAUAACUGCUCCAUCCCUGGAAGUGUUCAAGGGCUUGUUAGUUGGUAUUUUGAGCAACAUAGUCCAGGUUUGUUCCAGCCCAAACUAUUCUGAUUCUAAGAUUCUCCAACUAACUAGAGAAAAUGAGAAAAUAUAAAUUAUUAAAUGCAGCACAGAUGUUAAUAGAAUAAUUAUUUGCUUCUAAACAUUAUUAACAUUAUUAAUAAAAAUGUAUUGCAAUUUCACCUAACGUGAAGCCUUCUUACAUAUUGUGUAAAUACAUAAUAAAAUAUUUUAUUAUCUAAAGAAAAAUCUCAGGCACAACAUCUGUGCUGUUUACUAGAAACAGAAACAUUUCACAAGUUAUCCUACCACUUUUUCACAAUUUUCUUUAUCACUAUAAUUUAAAAUAAUAGAUUAGAAAAUGAGUAAGCCUCUUCAGAGAGUCUUGAAGGGAGACAAAUUCAUCUUUCACAUAUUUUGAACAAUUUCUAAAUAAAUAUUUAGCAAGGAAAAUCUCUGUUUCCUUAUUUUAUGUCAAACAACAUCCAUGAAAACAUUUGAUGAAUAUUGUAAGCAUUUUCUUUUCUUCCCAGAUUGAGCUAAAAUAAAUAAAUAAAUAAUAAAAAUCAGAAUAUUGGAAAACUGCUUUGAUAAGAUCAGAAUGCAAUAAUUUGUGUGGAAAUUUAUGAAAUAAUUAUAAUUGUAGUACUUAAUAGUAUUAAUUUGUUAUAUUUGAAUAGAAUUGGAUGAAA
rnacentral:lncRNA from 1 species